AUGCUGUUAAAGGAAAUGGUCGUUGGAGAGAGGGAAGGCUUUGGUUAUUGAUUUCUUUUUGCUGUUGUUGUUUCGUUGGUGUUAGGGUUUUUUAAUCAUGAUUGGGAAAUGUGCUAUGAGGCAAGUGGAAGAAUUGAAAAACAGAACCAAGGGAGAUGUGGGUUGAGGGUUGUGCAGUGAAACAAGCAAAAGUACCCAGAAGAAGGUCUCCCAAAAGCAGUCCUCUCCCUCUUUCACAGAUGUCUUAAGGACUUCACUGAGUCUCACAUUCAGGUUCUUGGCCCUGAUGAAGCAGAAGCUGCCUGCAGGCAGCUUUUGGACAGCUGGAUGAAGAUGUCACUCGUCAAGCAUCAGCCCUCUCCAGUGACUGAAAAAUAAGGGAAAAGAAAUCUUGAAAAAUACAGCUGAGAAAUGUUACAAGGGCAUCAUCCUUUGGUUAGCCCUGGGAGAAGGUGGCAUGAUGGAAAGGCACUCUGCACUGACCUGAGGAAUGCUGCAGCUUCUCCUCAGGUUUGGCAGCAAAGAUCUCCCACGAGAUCUCCCGAGGCUGAGGCUCUUCUGGGGUGUGCACACUUACUGAGUGAGACUUGGCUUCACACAAAGAGAUAUUGGGACUUUUGCUGAAGAAAUUUUGUUGUUGUUGUUGUUGGAAUUAGCCAGGAGGAUCCCAUCUUAGUUUGGAAAACAGAGUGGGAAGUUGAAAUGAGUACUCCAGGGCUCCAGGGGGAUGACAGAGUGGCCGGGUUCCUUGGCUGGGUGGGGAGAGCAGCCAGGGAACCUGGGGUUGAGUCAGAGGUUCCCAUCUGUGUGAGGGUUGUCCAGAGGUGAGCUUGAACUCGCUCUCUGGCCAAAUGUCUUUGCUGGACUGGUCACUGAAAGACCUGGGCGUGCCAAAAGUUUGCUGUGCUCUGCAGUGCUUCCUCCUGGAAGGCUUUGGGGGGAAAAAAGUUUAAUUUAUUUUUGUUACCAGGGAAUUUCCUGCAUUGCACCUGUGCUGGAAACAAGUGAGUGAUGGCAAGUUUGUUUGGAUGGGAGGGUGGAGGAAAGGGGGUGAGACCUCUUGGCUUAGACCCCAGAUACCAUGCCUGAAGCAUUUCAAACCCAGAACGCUGCUAAUCCCAUGCUAAAUCCCUGGAAUCAAGGAGGACUUGAAUGCAACGUUAAGGGUGGUAUAAAGGAGUGGAUACAUUUCUCAAGCAAUUGAAUUUGAAAUACUGUUCAAAGACGACAGCACUGUGAAUUGGCAGGAGAGCCCUGAUCCCUUGGUGCCAGUAAAACACACUUUUAAUUAAGGAGAAAAAAAAAAAAAGUAGCGAAUUCUGCUGUGAAGAAAUGUAACGAAAAUGAAAAACUCCUCUAUUCUGAGAAGCUCCCUGCCCGUUUGAAUGCUGUAUCAAUGGGAAUACCUGAUGAGGAGUAAGAAGAUCAAGAAGGGAAAGCGUCAACUCUUUCGGCUUUCAGGGACCAGCAGAAAUGCAGAGAGAAAUUGCUGAUAGUUGAUAUAUUGACCAGUUUUCAUUAUAACUUCAGAGUUUUCUUCAGCUGAAAGAGAAGGUGGCAUGGAUCUUCAUUUGGAUUUCAGGAGACAUAAACAACAGCAGCUUGUGAAGACAACGCUCCUGUGAAGGGUAAAGUCACUUUUGAAAAUUCACCAUGAAAUUCACUUUUGUUCCAAAAAAUAAAAUGAAAAGAAAUGCAGAGACUGUGGAGUGAUUACAAGCCUCCAGCAGUGAAGAUUUAAGAUGACAAACUCUUCACCCUAUUUCUGUGCUUCCCUGAGGCACAUCUGUGAUCCCUGCUGUGGAAGAGGGCAGUGGGGACAGGACCUCAGACAUAAACAAGACUUCAAACAGCCUGAACCAUCUGAGGUCCCUCCCUGAUUGCUUCUAGGACCAACCCCUACUGCAGGCACUGGAAAGAAUUUCAGAUUAGCAGCCAAACAUCUCAGGAACUUGGUUCUGGUGCCCUGAAUCAACCAGCAGUGAUGGGUGCAGGUGUCAUUGCUUCUCCUCAGUGCCCACAAAGGCACCUGCCCUACCUCUGCCAGAAAUCAUUGGCCAAAAGCAGUUCAGAGAAUCACGGAAUAUCCUGAGAUGGAAGGGAUCUACAAACUGUUGGUGUCAAUACGUGGAUCAACUACUGCCGCAGAGGGAAUUUAUCAUCAAGCAGCUCUUUGAGCUAACACCCUUCUGUGACUCUUAGGCAGUUAUUUUUGGGGGGAAUAUAUAUGAACUAGGGCUUAAAAACUUGGCUUGAGCUGAGGGCAGAGAAGACGCCUCACUUAGCCUGAGGAAUGCUUUUGACAGAGACACGUUGUCGUCACAUCUCUUGGCUGGGAAUAAGUUGUACCUUUCCUGCAAAUGGAAAUAUUUCUCUGAAGUUCAACAGCUGCAGGAACAGCAACUUGUCUCUCGAUCACGUUUUCGGUUUGAAAACCCAUUUCUAGUCCAGCAGCGAGGAGAAAGCCCAAAGCUCAUUCAAAUGAGCUUUUUAAUGGAAAAAGUCACAUUAAAUCUAAACCAAUUCCAUGAUCUUGUCUGAAUCAUGGUUUUUUAAAGACUGGGGGCUGAGGCUGCAGUUAACAUUGCCUUAGCAAUGCUCAGUACUUAUCUGUGAGCAGAAAGGUAAUGGUGGGGAAGGGCUUCUGGUGUUAUUUUUCUAAGGUCCUGAUCAUUUAGCUAUUUAACUUGGGAAGCAGGACUAUCUCUGGCUGACUCUUAUCACCCUUUCAGCGAGGCAGAUAGCA